UAUUCACAGGUGCAAUCAUAGUGCACUACAGCCUCAAACUCCUAGCCUCAAGCAAUCCUCAUGCCUCAGCCUCCAGAGUAGCUGGGCCUACAGGUACUUAACACCUCAUCUGGCAUCCCCCAGUCAGAUAUUUGGAUGAGACCCCUGCCUUGGCUAACACCUUGAUGAAAACCUGUGGAAGGUUCUAAGGCAGGACCCUCAGCGCAGCCACUUCUCCAGGCACUCGGCAGAGAGAACGCGCGUAGGCGUUGCCCUGGCAACGCCGGGAUGCCCAGCAACAAGUCCGCGGCGUGUAUCACGUGCUCGGCGCGGACCAAUCCGAGGGCCCGCCGGGAAGCAGGAGCAAUAGCAAAAAUUGGGAAUGGGAAGAAACAGGUACCAGCCAGGACACCUGAACGAACUUGGAGCUCAGGAACCCAGGAGGGGAUUGGAGAGAGUGGGGAGACUCCAUGGUCCACAAUGAAUGCUCCUUCCCCAUCCGAAAAAAUCCCCUAGCCCAGUUUUUGGGCAGAUGCCAGACUUUUAUUCUGAAGCGUGGGCCACAACCUAUGAGGUAAUCUUUGGAGCUUCAUUCUGAGGCGGAAUCCCAUUGGCCAGUUGGGGAAGCCCCUCCCAGGAUUCCUGGCGCUCCGCCUUCCCUGAAGCCUAUAAAAGCGCAGGUCCCCGCCUCGGCAGCCACGGGACACCUGCAUCUGCCAACAAGACUGGAAGCAGAAAGGGACAGAGACGGCGAAGUUUGACGGUCUGGAAAGCAGAGACCAGCAGGGCUGACUGCUUGGGAGCACGAGGGACAGCUCUCCACCGACCGAAGGAGGAGAAUGCUAUUUAUUUCAGCACCAAAUAUCCGGACAGCGCCUCUCGGGAGGUCCGAGAAGAGAACCGCGAUCUGUUUCAGCACCGGGGCUCAGGACAGUUCCCAGCGGGCUCCGUUUCGUCUCCAGAACCCUGGACAGCUCCUCCAGAGACGGGGUUUCACCAUGUUGGCCAGGCUGGUCUCAAACUCUUGACCUCUUCAUCCGUCCACCUCAGCCUCCCAAAGUGCUAGGAUUACAGGCGUGAGUCACUGCGCCUGGCCCAAGUCCGGAAUUUUCAACAGGACAUGGGUGUUACUGUGCCCAUGUGACAUUUGGGGAACCCAAGGCCCUGAGAAAGGCAGAAAAAUAACCCACGCAGGGACUCUCAGCCCACAAGUGAAGCUGAGAACCGGGAAUGGAAAACAGGGAGGCAGCACAGAGGCAGGAAACUCAGGUGUCAUAGCUUGGCUCAGCUUGGAAUGCACUCCCUCCACCUCCAACCAGAGCUCCCCACAACUGACCCUGCCUUCUUCUGCAAGCUCCAUUUCAUCAAGGGAAACGAUCCUUAUUGCCUCACCAUUUCCCACGUGAAGUCUGUAUUGACAUUCUCAUAGACCUGGGAUAUUGUGUCUGCAGCACAUAGUCCAAUUAUUUUCAUGUUAUCUACUGACAGGUCUAUUUGUCUCCCUGUUACACUGUGAGCUCCGUGAGGGCAGAAACAAUGUUAGUAUUUUCACUGCUGUGUCCCCAGCGCCUGGUCCGGGGCCCGGCACACAGCAGGCAUAUAAUAAGCAUGUGUUGAAUCAAUAAAGGCAUCAAAGAAUAAACCAAUACAUCAAUCAAUAAAUGAAUGAAUGGCCUCAGCACACACAGGAAGAUCCUUCUUCUAGGUCUCCCCCAGAGAGAUACUGGAGGGCAAUGGUUGCUGGAGGUGUUUAUUGGGGAAGCAUAAUUGAAUUUGUGGACACUUAAGGGCCGGCCAGCCAACUCACAGCCCCAAGAGAGAGAGCCAGGCUCAUUUAAUUAGCAAUUACAAGGCACUGAUUCCUCAUUAGCUCUGGCAACCCUCGUCUCCCUCCUCAGCCCCAGACAAAUGAAAUCUUUCUCUCUCUCCCAGGAGUACUGCCUCAGUGGGUCCAUUAACAAGCAGAGAAAAUGAGAUUAGAAGACACCUAAAUGCCAGAGGCACUUUAUGAAUGGGCUGAGCAGAGGGAGGUUCAAUGUCUGGGUUAGGUCUAAUUGUGGGAGGUUUCCUGGUCUAUUUAGAAUUGCCCCCUGGGAAUGCAAGGUCUUUCAGAAAGGAAAAGGCACACAGAUAUUGCCUUCUGGGGUCCUCAAUGGAGGAGGACAUUCUGCUAUGGGUGUCUCCCAGUCACCCCAAAUUAAUCAUUUCAAAGUGAACACUCAAUCUGCCCAGCCCCUAGCUUCCUCCCCUGACAUGCCCAUGAAUAUGACAGUCCCUCUACAUGCCCAAGAUCCUCCCCUCCUCAUCCACUCCCCAUGAUCCCCAAGAUGAGUCACUGUGCUCAAAUCCAUCCUCUCUCCUCCAGCCCUCUGCCUCCAUGACCUCCCUCCAGCCCUCUGCCUCCAUGACCUCCGCCUCCCUGCAUGUCCGGAUCUCCUCACUGUCUCCCCUCUGAGCAUACACACACAUACAGCCUGUUCAUUCUCUACAUGCAGCGAGGGGACUUUCCAGAACACACAUCUGACCAAGUUCCACUCCUGCCUGUCACCCUUCCAAGAGCCCCACUGACUGCAGAAUAACGUUCAAAUAUCCGGUUGGGCGUGGUGGCUCAUGCCUGCAGUCCCAGCACUUUGGGAGGCCAAGGUGGGUGGAUCACUUGCACAGGACCACAGGCGUGUGCCACCACACCCAGCUAAUUUUUAUAUUUUUGGUAGAGACGGAGUUUCACCAUGUUGGCCAGGCUGACCUCAAGUGAUCCACCCGCCUCAACCUCCCAAAGUGCUGGGAUUACAGGCAUGAGUCACUGCACCGGUCUAAUUUUUUCAGAGUCUCACUCUUGCCCAGGCUGGAGUGCAGUAGCAUGAUCUCGGUUCACUGCAACCUCUGCCUCCUGGUUUCAAGCGAUUCUCUUGGCUCAGCCUCCUGAGCAGCUGGGAUUACAGGCACGUGCCACCACACUUAGCUAAUUUUUGUAUUUUUAGUAGAGAUGGGGGUCUCACCAUGCUGGCACAGUUGGUCUUGAACUCCUGACCUCAAGUGAUCCACCCACCUCGGCUUCCCAAAGUGCUGGGAUUACAGACGUGAGCCACCGCGCCCGGCCAGCCUUUAUUGAUUCUUUUUAAAGCCACACUAACCUUUUAUUUUCCCCCAAAGACCCCUGGGAGCCCUCAGUUUUUCCUGGCAGUUUCAUCUUUGUACCCCUGACCUCCCCACACACACGCCUAGCUCAGUGCUGGCAUCCAAUAUUCACUUUGGGUAUAAAUGCUUGUGCCUGAGCCUAUCACCUUCAUCACACAGAAAAUCCUGGAGGCCACACACCCCUGUAAAGACGAGCCAUUACCCACAGAGGUCCAACCAACUUACCACCCUCUCCCAGCCACCCCCAAGGACCCAGCUUGCAGCUGCCUGCUCAAUGGCUUUAGAAACUAAAAAAGGUGAAUGAGUUUCCAUCACUGCCCUCCUGGGCUUUGCCGUUAUGGCUGGUUAACUUGACAGAAGAACACAUUAUACUUCAUUUUUUGCUGUUGUCUUGUUGGAAAAAAAAGUGACAGCUGGGUGCAGUGGUGCACACUGUAGUCACAGCUACUCAGGAGAAUUGCUUGAGCACAGGAAUUGGAGGCUACACUGAGCAAUGAUCGCCUCACUGCACUCCAGCCUGAACGACAGAGCAAGACCCUCUUAAAAAAUACGUGAGAGAGGGUGCGUAUGAUGGCUCAUGCCUGUAAUCCCAGCAGUUUG
rnacentral:lncRNA from 1 species